rnacentral:rRNA from 1 species
UCUCAGGUUGACCUCGGAUCAGGUAGGGAUACCCGCUGAACUUAAGCAUAUCAAUAAGCGGAGGAAAAGAAACCAACAGGGAUUGCCCUAGUAACGGCGAGUGAAGCGGCAACAGCUCAAAUUUGAAAUCUGGCGCAAGCCCGAGUUGUAAUUUGUAGAGGAUGCUUCAGGGCAGCGGCCGUUCUAAGUCUUUUGGAACAAGGCGUCACAGAGGGUGAGAAUCCCGUAUGCGACCGGCGCGCACCCGUCACGUAGCUCCUUCGACGAGUCGAGUUGUUUGGGAAUGCAGCUCUAAAUGGGAGGUAAAUUUCUUCUAAAGCUAAAUAUUGGCCAGAGACCGAUAGCGCACAAGUAGAGUGAUCGAAAGAUGAAAAGCACUUUGGAAAGAGAGUUAAACAGCACGUGAAAUUGUUGAAAGGGAAGCGCAUGCAACCAGACGUGCCGGCGGUGUUCCCCCGGUCUUUUGACCGGGUCACUCGCCGCCGGCAGGCUCGCAUCGCCUGGGCGCGUCGGAGAAAGGCGCGGGGAAUGUGGCUCCUUCGGGAGUGUUAUAGCCCCGUGCGCAAUACGGCGCCGCCCGGGCGAGGUCCGCGCUCCGGCUAGGAUGCGGGCGUAAUGGUUGUCUGCGGCCCGUCUUGAAACACGGACCAAGGAGUCUAACAUCUAUGCGAGUGUUCGGGCGUCAAACCCUUACGCGUAAUGAAAGUGAACGGAGGUGGGAGCUUCGGCGCACCAUCGACCGAUCCUGAUGUCUUCGGAUGGAUUUGAGUAAGAGCAUAGCUGUUGGGACCCGAAAGAUGGUGAACUAUGCCUGAAUAGGGUGAAGCCAGAGGAAACUCUGGUGGAGGCUCGCAGCGGUUCUGACGUGCAAAUCGAUCGUCAAAUUUGGGUAUAGGGGCGAAAGACUAAUCGAACCAUCUAGUAGCUGGUUC